UGAAGCCAAAGCGAAGAUGGGACCAGCAGCCAGCCCCGGGACGGAGUCCGACAAAGAGCUCAAAAUGUCUAAAUCUGCAGGAGCUUCGGUAUCUUUACCGAAACACUCCUACUGGUAUGACUUCUGGCUCUUCUUGCUCUUUGACGUCGUGUUUUUCCUCGUCAUGUAUUUCAUAGUCCCGUAGAAAGGGUUCGACCCCUGGACUCUGGAUGCUGAAGACAUGGCGUGUUGGUCCUGCCCUGCUGUCAGGAACGCUAACACAGCUUUGACUGAAUUUAGCACCUCCUUAUUGGAUGUCACAUAACAAGUUUCCCACCAUGGACCACGGAUGUGCACGUUUUAUACAUGUGACACUUUAACAUCAGAAAUCUGACCCACCGAGCUCCCUCCUUCAGUGACCUGUUGCCGGCCACUGUGGAUCAUCUUUUUGCAGAGAUGGAUUCCAUUGUUGCCGUGUGGAAGAGAGAAACCUCAAGUAUUUUUAUUGAUAAUUGACACUGGCCAUCUGAUGAGCUUUACUGAUCCCCAGAGGGGAACCUUUGUGAAAAAGCUAAUGAUGUUGGGGAAUAUUAUUUCAGUACAUCAAAAUUUAUAAUGUUUGCACAUAGAAAAUACCCAAAUAAAAUGUUUUACCUGCCUACUAAA